GAAAGAGCGAGAGGGAGGACAUAUAAUCAGGCUCUAACCAGAACAGCAUCUCAGUGUCUAACCACUGAAUCCCUGUAAUGCAGCAUAACUGAUGAUCUAAUGCACUGGAGGCACCAUGGCUGCAGGAUUUAGGCCAAUGAUCUGUGUGCUGUUGCUGCUGUCUUGUUGUCAACUGACCAUGGCCAAAGAAGGAAAAUCCACAAAGAAGGGAAAGAAAGGCAAGCAAGUUGUCUGUCCAUCCCAGUUGUCCCCAGAAGAUUUGGCCCAGGUUCCAGCUAACUCUACCUCCAACAUCUUGAACCGACUGAUGGUCAGUUACGAUCCAAGAAUAAGGCCUAACUUUCAAGGUAUCCCAGUUGAGUCCAGGGUCAACAUCUUCAUUAAUAGCUUUGGGUCCAUCCAGGAGACCACUAUGGACUACAGAGUGAACAUAUUUCUUCGUCAGAGAUGGAAUGACCCACGCUUAAGACUUCCUACUGACUUCAAGAGUGAUGCACUGACUGUUGACCCAAACAUGUUCCAGUGUUUGUGGAAACCAGACCUUUUCUUUGCCAAUGAGAAGAACGCCAAUUUCCAUGAUGUUACACAGGACAACAUUCUGCUCUUCAUCUUCAGGAAUGGAGAUGUCUUGAUCAGUAUGAGGCUUUCAGUGACGCUGUCUUGCCCCUUGGAUCUUACACUCUUCCCAAUGGACACUCAGCUAUGUAAGAUGCAACUGGAGAGCUUUGGCUAUACCACCAGUGAUCUUGUGUUCAUGUGGCAGUCUGACCCCGUUCAGAUGGAUGAGAUUGCUCUCCCUCAGUUCGACAUCAAACAAGAGGACAUAAAAUAUGGAAACUGCACAAAGUACUACCAAGGAACAGGAUACUACACCUGUGUGGAAGUGAUUUUUACAUUGCGUCGGCAAGUUGGUUUCUACAUGAUGGGGGUUUACGCUCCAACUCUGUUGAUUGUUGUAUUAUCCUGGUUAUCAUUCUGGAUCAACCCUGAUGCAUCAGCUGCAAGAGUGCCUCUGGUGCACAGCAGGAAGGCAACAUUGGACCCACUACUUUCCCCAGCUUUGCAGCAGUUAAGGAACCAUCUGCACUUUUUUCUUCAAAAACUGGUAACAUUUAAAUGGGACUAGUUAGAUCACAACAUAGUGUAACACCACCAAGCGCAGGACUGUUUAACUUUGGUUAGUGUUAAGCACGUGUUGAAUGUUUUUGGUCUAUUCAUGGGUGAGUGUCUGUGUGAUCUCUGCAUAUUGAGUUAUAAGUAGUUUGAUGUAAGUUAACAUACAGACUCAGGGUUUGCAUUGCAACUAACCACCAUCCUAACCCUUAUCUGGCACCAUGUCUCACACACACUCAUUCUUUAGCCUAGCAUAUCACACGAACAUGUGAUCUCAAUGAGCACAUGGUGUGAGCACCAACAUUGUUUCUUGUUUAUCUCUGCUAUUAAAGAAACAUGGGGUCAGCUGCCAUCUUGCCACGCCUCAUAAGCAAAGUUCUAGUUCCACUUGGUCAACCAUUUUUUGGGGAGUUUCAUUAGUACAUGAUAUGCGGCAUGGUCAUUGUGAGUCUUAGCCAUUUUGUUUGUUUUUUCCCGACACACACACACAAAUACUUCCAUACACAUCUGUAUAAAGUACACCUUUAUGAUGAAUAAAAUUGUGAUCAUAGUUAUUGAGUUAAUUAGUGAGUUAAUUAGGACAUUUGAAAGCUGGGGUUGGUAGGUGUAGAGAAGCAUUUUUUAUUAUAUUUCUAUAAAACCUAUAAAAACAUCCAGCCAACAAUCAAAAUAUAAAAUGGAUAGCUCAAUAGGUGAAACAAGAGUCAACAUUGGACUGGCUGUUCAGCGAUGGAGACAACUGAUGGAGUCGAAGGCCUGAAAACUCUGUGGUAGCGGUGUCUCUGUUGGACAGGUAAUGUCCGGGUUUGUUUCGGUUGGGGAAAUGCAUUAUUACUAGCAUUAUGCAUUAUGUAGUCAAUGUAGCUAACCGUAACUCCUAAUGUUGCUGUCAUAUGUAUUAGCCCAAUUCUACUUUUGUUAGCAUUGUCAGCUUGCAGCUAGCCACCUUUGGCCAGGUCAAUGUUUACAUGUACUAUGGAUCUAAGCCAUAUAACAGUGUUUACACAUGCACUGCUACCCUGGGCUGUUAGGACCAGCUGUGACCAGAUGUGAGGUGGACUGAUUAUUGCAUGCUACACAUGUGAAAGGCCAAGUCCACUGUUCAGAGGUCACAGGAUGAUUGCAUAUAUCUUUGAAUAUAGUUUUUAUUGUAUUUUUAGCAGAUGUUGUUAGAUGGUAUUUAUGUGGUGUUCAUUCAUAUGGACUUUGAACUGGACAUUUUACAAAUGUGCUGAUGUAGCCUAUUUCUGUGUUCUGUAGUUAUGAGAGGAUCGCAUCAGCUUCCAGCCCCUCAAAACAUAAGUUCAUGGCAGAACCGUGCCCUAAAGUUUCCACAGAGUCUGUCUCUAAUAGGACAGUCACUGCCAAAGCAGUACAGGAUUGAGACAGCACCAACAUCAGCAGCCUAACCUGUCGGCCAACACUGAUAUGUUUUUAGAAUCAGUCAAGAAACCUCUGGACGUCCUUCCUGUAUCUAGUUGUUUAUGCU